rnacentral:misc_RNA from 1 species
GAAAUGCGAUAAGUAAUGUGAAUUGCAGAAUUCAGUGAAUCAUCGAAUCUUUGAACGCACCUUGCGCUCCUUCGUAUUCCUUGGAGCAUGCCUGUUUGAGUAUCAUGAAAUCUUCAAAGUAAAUCUUUUGUUAACUCAAUUGGUUUCUACUUUGGUAUUGGAGGUCUUUGCAGCUUCACACCUGCUCCUCUUUGUUCAUUAGCUGGAUCUCAGUGUUAUGCUUGGUUCCACUCGGCGUGAUAAGUUAUCUAUCGCUGAGGACACUGUAAAAGGUGGCCAAGGUAAAUGCAGAUGAACCGCUUCUAAUAGUCCAUUGACUUGGACAAUACUUUUAUGAUCUGAUCUCAAAUCAGGUAGGACUACCCGCUGAACUUAAGC